GAUCACUCGGUCGUGGGUCAAAAC
rnacentral:rRNA from 1 species